UACGGAGGGUGCAAGCGUUAUCCGGAUUUACUGGGUUUAAAGGGUGCGUAGGUGGGUUGGUAAGUCAGUGGUGAAAUCUCCAGGCUUAACUUGGAAACUGCCAUUGAUACUAUCAGUCUUGAAUACCGUGGAGGUCAGCGGAAUAUGUCAUGUAGCGGUGAAAUGCUUAGAUAUGACAUAGAACACCAAUUGCGAAGGCAGCUGGCUACACGAAUAUUGACACUGAUGCACGAAAGCGUGGGGAUCAAACAGG
rnacentral:rRNA from 1 species